AAAAAAAGAAAAGAAGAAAGAAGAAAGAAGAAAAAAGAAAAAAGAAAAAAGUUUGAUGAUGAUUAUUCGUGUUCUUGGUAUUCUUUAUAUU
rnacentral:ribozyme from 1 species